UGCCGAUUUAGCCUUUCAGUUGGGUCGUUGGGUAUCUCCUGGCUAUUACUCUCGUGUAUGAAUGCAUUUAAAUACGAAUCAUACAUUUCUCUCUUAAGAAGAACCAUCAUUUUAGUCUUGUCAUCCCUCUCACAAAUAAUGUUGUUGUUGUCUAUCCACUCUUUAGCAGCAUUCACUCUAGUGCAUAGCGAUCUUAUAUCAGAAGCAUUAAAGUUUUUAAUUGUGCUCGCCAUAUGCCAUCUAAUCUCUUCCGCCUCAGCUGGAUGGCAGGUGGAUAAGGCUGGUUCAUGUUGAAUCACUAUGCUUUGCCAUGUUGGAAUAUUCUUGAUUAAAGCAUUCGGGCCUAAUGAUAGAACUUCCUGUACAAAAGGUGGAACCACGAUUUCAUCUAAGGCUAUAUAUGUCUGUAUUGUUGGAGUGUUCAUCUGUUUCUUUUUAACUUGCUUUUGGAUUAGCCAUUUAAUCUUUUUGACAUAGCGUUCGUUGUUUACACGUUGGAUAUAAAUAAUGAAUUGUGUAUACAUUGGGAGCCCGGUUUUAAGAUCUUCUACACUAUUUACAGUUAUCUCAUUCUGUAGAAGGUGCCAUUUUUGACGGAAGAAGUCCCUUCUCACACCUGUUAUAGCGGUGGACAGGCAUCGUUUUUUAGUUAAUAGCAAUAACUUCUUAGACUUACUGGUAAUGAUAUGCUAUUAAUUGUAGUUGAAAAUACUCCAUUCAGUCUACACUUUUUCAAAAAUGUUAGCCGUUCUUCUAACA
rnacentral:lncRNA from 1 species